UACGGGGGGAGCAAGCGUUGUUCGGAUUUACUGGGCGUAAAGGGCGCGUAGGCGGCCACCGCAAGUCAGUUGUGGAAGCUCUGGGCUUAACCCAGAAAGGUCAACUGAUACUGCGGGGCUAGAGUGCAGAAGGGGCAACUGGAAUUCUCGGUGUAGCGGUGAAAUGCGUAGAUAUCGAGAGGAACACCUGCGGCGAAGGCGGGUUGCUGGGCUGACACUGACGCUGAAGUGCGAAAGCUAGGGGAGCGAACGGG
rnacentral:rRNA from 1 species